AAGUCGGACGAUGAAGUCCUUCGGGAAUGGAUCAGUGGCGAACGGGUGAGGAACACGUGAGAAACCUGCCUUUCAUUCUGGGAUAACACUGGGAAACCGGUGCUAAUACCGGAUACUCCAUCUUGGCGGCAUCGCCGAGCUGGGAAAAAAUUUUGAUGAAAGAUGGUCUCGCGGCCUAUCAGCUAGUUGGUGAGGUAAAGGCUCACCAAGGCGACGACGGGUAGCCGGCCUGAGAGGGCGACCGGCCACACUGGGACUGAGACACGGCCCAGACUCC
rnacentral:rRNA from 1 species